rnacentral:rRNA from 1 species
CCCUUAGAUGUUCCGGGCCGCACGCGCGCUACACUGAUGCAUUCAACAAGCCUAGCCUUGACCGAGAGGUCCGGGUAAUCUUUGAAACUGCAUCGUGAUGGGGCUAGAUUAUUGCAAUUAUUAAUCUUCAACGAGGAAUACCUUGUAAGCGCGGGUCAUCAUCCCGCGCUGAAUACGUCCCUGCCCUUUGUACACACCGCCCGUCGCUCCUACCGAUUGAGUGGUCCGGUGAGGCUUUGGGAUCUGAGCGGAAAGAGCGUUUCGCUGUUUCUGCUCGGAAAACUCAGUCGAACCUUAUCAUUUAGAGGAAGGAGAAGUCGUAACA